rnacentral:rRNA from 1 species
UACGUAGGGACCGAGCGUUGUCCGGAAUCAUUGGGCGUAAAGAGCGUGUAGGCGGCCUUUUAAGUCCUGCGUGAAAUCCUGCGGCUCAACCGCAGACGGUCGUGGGAAACUGGAAGGCUAGAGUGCGGGAGAGGAGAGUGGAAUUCCCGGUGUAGCGGUGAAAUGCGCAGAUAUCGGGAAGAACACCCGUGGCGAAGGCGGCUCUCUGGGACGGUACUGACGCUGAUGCGCGACAGCGUGGGGAGCAAACAGGG